UUGUUUCUGCUAUGUAAACACAGAGCACAGCUGCAGCACUGGACUCUGCUAACCCACCACUCCUGAGUUUCCUGAGCAUGCACAGACACACCCUCGAAUGUACACACUCGCACCGACUCACACAGAUGUGAGUAAGGUCAGCGAAGCUAUUUUUGGAUAAGGCGGUUAAUCACUGUGUUGCAGCCAGCCUAUAAAGCCUGGACGCAUGCUCAAGUCCUCUCAUACUCUGCUGCAUGGAUUAGACGGCACUCAGUUUAUCCCAGCAUUCAAAGAGCCCAAACUCAAACACUGAAGCAUGAAAAACAAGAGGCUGCUAAUGUCUCUGCCUCUACUACCCACAAUUACUGAGACACUGGAGGACCUGCCUGUCCAUCCCUGCUCCUUGCAACAACCCCAGGGGCCCCACUCUCUGGACGACUACAUGUCGAGCAUCCAAGCCCUUGCGCGGCCUGUCGAGGGCACGAGUUACGGCCCCGUCAGACUCCAGCGGUCCCCCCGGCAGCAUCAGCUCUCUAAAACCGCCCGUGUGUCUUCACGCACACCAAGGACUUCCAGAGCAGCCAGUCUGCCCUCGCACAGCACAGAGGAGUUUUCCCUCAGGAUGAGCAGAGAACGAGACAGCAGGGGCAAAGACCCAGUGGACUGGCUCUUUGGACAAAUAAGGACUUGAAGAGAGAUGCUGCUAUUGUCGGACAUCAUGUGGGUACUUUGCUGGAGCGAGGAAAUAAGUUCGGAGGAACCUCAGGAUGAACUGCUCCGCCAUCUGUGUGAAUCGAUAAUAGUGCAGAUGUAACUUAUAUAUUUAUAUUUUUUAUUUAGUAAAGACUCUAUGUGGUCUAUGUGUUUACAGAGUUUAAAAUUUUGUUAAGACAUAAGAUGUGGUUUCUAAUAAAAUGAUGAAAUAUCACAA